rnacentral:sRNA from 1 species
UAAACGAUUGUACUAGGCUGUGGUCGCAGAAAAGAAAGGAAGAAACUGAGAUUCUUUUGGCUCUACUGGUCCCGUUUCUCUUCUGUUCCUGGGGGUUCAACGCCCUGGCAAUACGGUGUGUCCAGGCAUUUCCAUCCAGCUGCCUUCGUCUCACCCUUGUUUUCUUUUUUUGUCACAAGUGUGACGUCUUUUCUCAGGGAUCAUCGCCCUGAGUUCCUGCCAUUGCACUCUGCUAGUAGGCUUGAUACUUGUUACUCCUCAUACAGCCAGAUGGCGCCUUUUCUAUCUUCCAAGUCGCAAUCGGAAGUUUGGCUUUCGCGGUUUUACAAAAAUUAUUUUUAAUAUUGCCACAAUCCUUCAAAGAAAUAAAUUCCCCGUUCUUAACUUAUCAUCCAAGGUUCCAGGCUUUGAUCUGAAGAGACACUAUCUUACUGAUCAUCUGAUAGUUCGAACGAUAGGACAUCAAGGAUGUCGACAGGAUGAAUUUUGAUCCUUUCUUUCUUUUUUUGACUGUCAAAGCUGAGUCUUGGCGGCUUUCGAAGCCACUUCUUAAAAUAUAAUACAUGGGAGGGGCCAGAGCUCUUCAAAAAGUGGCUCUGCUCCAACCGAGAGAGAAGCAAAAGCGAGUUUACGAUGGAGCAGAGUGGAGCAGGUCAUGUUUGCGCGAAGCUAUGGAAGAUGGAGGGCGAGUUCUACGGGGGG